GAUGAACGCUGGCGGCAUGCCUAAUACAUGCAAGUCGAACGAGAGGAAGGAGAGCUUGCUUUUCUGAAUCUAGUGGCGAACGGGUGAGUAACACGUAGGUAACCUGCCCAUGUGCCCGGGAUAACUUCUGGAAACGGAUGCUAAAACCGGAUAGGUAGCAGACAAGCAUUUGACUGCUAUUAAAGUGGCUAAGGCCAUGAACAUGGAUGGACCUGCGGUGCAUUAGCUAGUUGGUGAGGUAACGGCCCACCAAGGCGACGAUGCAUAGCCGGCCUGAGAGGGCGGACGGCCACAUUGGGACUGAGACACGGCCCAAACUCCUACGGGAGGCAGCAGUAGGGAAUUUUCGUCAAUGGGGGGAACCCUGAACGAGCAAUGCCGCGUGAGUGAGGAAGGUCUUCGGAUCGCAAAGCUCUGUUGUAAGAGAAAAACGACAUUCAUAGGGAAUGAUGAGUGAGUGAUGGUAUCUUACCAGAAAGUCACGGCUAACUACGUGCCAGCCGCCGCGGUAA
rnacentral:rRNA from 1 species